GGGGCUAACAAACCACUCCCACUAGUUGAACUCGACGCCCUCGUCGAGGUUGAUCUCAAGUAGUCCUCAAUUUGAUCUUCGAAUUGCCACAACGAAUUCCGUUUCUCCCAAGUUGCAUCUGACUCGGGCUUGCCUUUCCAUAGAAUCAAAAACUCUGUUCGCCUAAUCUUUUUGUGCAUACCAAGUAUCCGGUGGUCCAGAAUUUUCUCAAUCUCGUGUCCUCAAUCUGAUUGCGCAUUUC
rnacentral:lncRNA from 1 species